AACGCUAGCUACAGGCUUAACACAUGCAAGUCGAGGGGCAUCAGUUUGGUUUGCUUGCAAACCAAAGCUGGCGACCGGCGCACGGGUGAGUAACACGUAUCCAACCUGCCUCAUACUCGGGGAUAGCCUUUCGAAAGAAAGAUUAAUAUCCGAUAGCAUAUAUUUCCCGCAUGGGUUUUAUAUUAAAGAAAUUCGGUAUGAGAUGGGGAUGCGUUCCAUUAGUUUGUUGGCGGGGUAACGGCCCACCAAGCCUUCGAUGGAUAGGGGUUCUGAGAGGAAGGUCCCCCACAUUGGAACUGAGACACGGUCCAAACUCCUACGGGAGGCAGCAGUGAGGAAUAUUGGUCAAUGGGCGCAGGCCUGAACCAGCCAAGUAGCGUGAAGGAUGACUGCCCUAUGGGUUGUAAACUUCUUUUAUAAAGGAAUAAAGUCGGGUAUGGAUACCCGUUUGCAUGUACUUUAUGAAUAAGGAUCGGCUAACUCCGUGCCAGCAGCCGCGGUAAUACGGAGGAUCCGAGCGUUAUCCGGAUUUAUUGGGUUUAAAGGGGGCGUAGGCGGACUAUUAAGUCAGCUGUGAAAGUUUGCGGCUCAACCGUAAAAUUGCAGUUGAUACUGGUCGUCUUGAGUGCAGUAGAGGUAGGCGGAAUUCGUGGUGUAGCGGUGAAAUGCUUAGAUAUCACGAAGAACUCCGAUUG
rnacentral:rRNA from 1 species